CAGACUGCUCGUCCCGCCCCGACAGGGUGAAGGUGGUCUUUAUGUCUGAGCCACCACCCACCCCCUUACCAUUGGCCGUCGGCAACCGCUUCUUCAGUUGAUUGGACAAAGUGGAUGUCCAUCAGUGUCACGACGUUCCGCGGUAAGGAGAGGUGAAACCAGAAAGACAACUUCCCUCCGAAGGGUAGACGGGCCUGCUGGGAUACUGAGGGAGGACUGGGUCAGGCGCUGGGCGGGGUUUUCGCAGCUCCGCGGAACGCCGGGAAAGGGUCACGUCCAGAUGAGGGAUCCGGUUCCGGUGCAGACGGCGGCCUCGGCGUUGCCGCGGCAGUGCGGUUGGCCGGUACCUGGGUGGUGAGCUCGCGUUGUUGGAGGGGCUGGAGUUGUUCUCGGUCCUGUGUUGUCCGCUUAGGUGAGCUGCCGGAGCUUCCGUGAGGCCGCGGCGGGAGCGGGGACCGUGCGGGCCUCUAGCGGCCGGGCCGGGGUUACGAGAUCGGGGCGCGCGGGGCUUGAGUCCCGGCCCUCCGGCUGUCCCGCUGCCCAUGUAGGAGACCCAGACCAUUUCUUGCGUCUGCACUUCGAUUAUUUCACUAAAAUAGUUUUUGACUUUUAAAGUUCACGAGACGCUCUCGUCUGUGUGGUCGGGGCUUCGCUGACUUUCCCAGCCUACUUAAGCCCCUGGGCCUGGGCCCCAGGAAAGGUGUGUUGUAUGGGAAACUUAAGAAAGGAAUUGGUUCGUUCGAGAAACGUUUUCCGAGCAGCUGCUGCGUGCAAGGCACUGCGCCGGGGCGAGAAGUCCAGUGAGACCUGUGCCCAAAGGUUGACAAAUGAGAGGCGGGCACAAAGCAAUGUGGGAUACAGGGGAGGGAAAGGAAGCCUCCCGAGGCCCACCGCUUUCUCCAUUCUUCAUUGUGCAUGUCGCACCUUGUCGUGCAUCAUUAGCUUGCUUGUUGCCUUCCCUCCCAGACUUCGACUUCAUUCACCGCUGCAGCUUCAGUAUUGAAAACGGGUGCUCACGUUGGUGACAAGAGUGACCGCCGAAGAGCGGGGCUCCGUGAAAUCGCCGCGUGAUCUGUAGUCUCGGCGUCGCACUGGGUUGAUGGUACCCUGGAGCAUCCCAGACUUGCAGAGAAAGCAUCCUCCAGAGGAAGCUGAGGCAUGACUGCUCGAGGGCCGGCAGUGCCAUGUGCAAUUUUCCUCUGAUAGUUCCCAGUGCUGUUGCCACGGCGAUGGUGGCUGUGCCAUGCCAUUGUCUAUCAACCGACAGGAAGAGAAAACUGGCAGUCAGAUAUUGUUUAACAGACGAAGUGGUUUCUGUUGGACACUUAAGUACUGCUAACAAAUUACCUUUCUUUUCCUUUCUUUUUUUUUUUUAGAAAAAAACCCUAAAUGUUUUAAAAGGGUGGCUGGAGGUGACCUCGUUCUGCAUUCAAGGUUAAAAAUCUGAAAAUUAGAAUAUGUGCUCUCAGCAAGAGUAUCUUCUAAAUAAUCAUUCAGCAUGAAACUUGAGCCCCAUAAGCUGAAAAUUACACUCAAGACUUUCCUGAGAAAUGCUCCCCAGUGACAUAUUUAUUUAACCCCCCUUCGAUGGUAUUGAUGUUUAGUACUUUACUAAUGUGGGAUCCACGAUUGAUCAGCUUCUUAAAGAAUCCUUUUUUUCUCCCCCAGAGUCAUUGAUUCCAGGUAAAUCAGAGGAACAGACAUCAUGAACAGAAAUAAUACAGGAAGUGAUGUGAUGCCGAAGUUUAACUGUUGUUCCAGAAGUCCAGCAUCUGUGGCUCAUAACUUUAGGAACUGUAUCAUUUGCAAGGUCACCUAACUUUUACUCAUAUUGGGUUGGCCAGAAAGUUCACUCAGUUUUCCUGUAAGCUGAGAGAACCCGCACGGACUUUUUGGCCAACCCAAUACAGGAGAAGAAUUUGCAAACUGAUUAUGUGAGGGUCCGAAAUGUAAAACCGAGCCGUGGGGAGUAGCCUGUUUUUUGCCUGAGUUGCUGGUUACAGUCAAGUAUGGUGAGACCGUCCGUGAAAGGCAAGGACAUGGAAAAGCAAGU
ensembl:lncRNA